rnacentral:rRNA from 1 species
AGAUAAGUCUUUACGGAGAAAGCUUUAUGCACCAUUGGAUGAGCCCGCACUUGAUUAGUUUGUUGGUAGGGUAAUGGCCUACCAAGACUGUGAUCAAUAGCUGAUUUGAGAGGAUGAUCAGCCACAUUGGGACUGAGACACGGCCCAAACUCCUACGGGAGGCAGCAGUGGGGAAUCUUGCACAAUGGAGGAAACUCUGAUGCAGCGAUGCCGCGUGAGUGAAGAAGGCCCUUGGGUUGUAAAGCUCUUUCGUCGGGGAAGAAAAUGACUGUACCCGAAUAAGAAGGUCCGGCUAACUUCGUGCCAGCAGCCGCGGUAAUACGAAGGGACCUAGCGUAGUUCGGAAUUACUGGGCUUAAAGAGUUCGUAGGUGGUUGAAAAAGUUGGUGGUGAAAUCCCAGAGCUUAACUCUGGAACUGCCAUCAAAACUUUUCAGCUAGAGUUUGAUAGAGGAAAGCAGAAUUUCUAGUGUAGAGGUGAAAUUCGUAGAUAUUAGAAAGAAUACCAAUUGCGAAGGCAGCUUUCUGGAUCAUUACUGACACUGAGGAACGAAAGCAUGGGUAGCGAAGAGGAUUAGAUACCCUCGUAGUCCAUGCCGUAAACGAUGUGUGUUA